rnacentral:rRNA from 1 species
UACGAAGGGGGCUAGCGUUGUUCGGAAUUACUGGGCGUAAAGCGCGUGUAGGCGGUUGUUCAAGUCCGGUGUGAAAGCCUUGAGCUCAACUCAAGAAAUGCACUUGAUACUGGAUGACUAGAGGACCGGAGAGGAUAGUGGAAUUCCCAGUGUAGUGGUGAAAUACGUAGAGAUUGGGAAGAACACCAGUGGCGAAGGCGGCUAUCUGGACGGUUUCUGACGCUAAGACGCGAAAGCGUGGGGAGCAAACAGG